rnacentral:lncRNA from 1 species
GAAAAUAUGAAAUGAAAGAGUAUAUAGAAAGAUCUGGUAAAUCAAAAACUAAGGCAGGAAUAAACAGCUAUUUUUCAACAAGAGACUGAAAUGUUAAAAUAUGUUCUGUUCACUAUUCUGGCAUUAUAGUUAGGUGAGCACCGAAGUGGACACUAAUCCCAUAGAUUUACAAGCCUGGAGAGUAAAAUAAGUAUGGAUGGGCUUAUAAGAAAUAAGUCACAAAAAAAUCUAGAAUGAAAAAUUAAGAACAGAAGCACUGGUUUUAUAAGAAUCUUUUGUAAAAUCAUUUCCAACAUGAAAUUAUUAAAUGGAUUAAGGAAAUUUUUUAUGCCAAUCUUUAAGAAAAUAUGUAAGAAAUAUCUUCCAUGAAAAGAUCAUCUUGGUUAAUCCAGGUAUUUAAGUACUUUUGAAAAUCUUUUUUCCUAAGGAGGGAUGAGCAUACUAAAGAACAUCUUCAAAGUAAAUCUUAAGAAUUUAGUUAAGAAAGAAACAGCAUAGAGUAUGCCCAUUAAGACUGAACAGGCAAUAAUCUAUGGUAGGAAGAAAGUCUACAAGAACAUGUGGGAGAGAGAAGAUGGCCCCAUCUUUUCUGUCAACAUCUUUUUCUAAGAGAUGAAAAGAAACUACAGCAGAGUAUUACAAAGCUGAGUCACAAAACAAGACAAUGUUAGUAUCAAAGACACAAUUAAAACAUUGAUUUGGCAAAAAACUGAUUUUCCUAGGACCCACUAGGAGUUCUAGAUGGCACAGAUGACCAGGAGAGGGCAGCUCACCACUGCAGCUGUGAGUAAAGAUGCGAAUUUGGCAUCAAGGGGAUACUCUACCUUACUUACACUUUCCAUAU